CCUACGUGUGGCAGCAGUGAGGAAUAUUGGUCAAUGGACGCAAGUCUGAACCAGCCAUGCCGCGUGCAGGAAGACGGCUCUAUGAGUUGUAAACUGCUUUUGUACGAGGGUAAACGGAGAUACGUGUAUCUGUCUGAAAGUAUCGUACGAAUAAGGAUCGGCUAACUCCGUGCCAGCAGCCGCGGUAAUACGGAGGAUUCAAGCGUUAUCCGGAUUUAUUGGGUUUAAAGGGUGCGUAGGCGGUGGGAUAAGUUAGAUGUGAAAUCUCGAGGCUCAACCUCGGAAUUGCCUUUGAUACUGUUCGUCUAGAGAGUAGUUGCGGUAGGCGGAAUGUAUGGUGUAGCGGUGAAAUGCUUAGAGAUCAUACAGAACACCGAUUGCGAAGGCAGCUUACUAAGCUACUACUGACGUUGAGGCACGAAAGCGUGGGGAGCAAACAGGAUUAGAUACCCGGGUAGUC
rnacentral:rRNA from 1 species